UAUUGCUUGUGUGCACCAAUCUUGUAUCUAUUAAGAACACAAAAGUAUUUGCUUCACUAGUCUGAAAUCUUGCGUAUGAAAUAAUAAAUAAUAUGAAUCGCAUUUAAACUUCUAGAUCUAGAAUCAUGAAGUGUUCGCAUAUAUGCUUCACCUCGGUCUCUCUCUUUUAUGUAAAAUCCGGUAUUUCGUUGUGCUUUCAGGAUGGUGAUUGCUUGCUACAUAUGCAAGAAAGUGGUAGUACUGUUACCAGUGACAGUCAAGACAAAUUUACAAAUCAGUGAUGUUUGCCAGUCCUUGGCAAAUGAUAAGUGCUUGACAUCAAAUGACAGAACUUUCUUUAAUCAAGUUUACUAGGAUGAAAUUCAUGAAAAAAUCCAGUUUUCUCACGGCCAAGCCAAAAACCUGGAUAGGGAUCUGGAACAUCAGAACCCUAUGCUUCUUUGGGGUGAUUGUGAGAAAGGAGAAAAGAAGAUACAGGCUAACAGGCUGGGAUGCAAGAAGCUUGCUUUGAAGGAAGACAAUGUGUGAGUGGUUCUAGAAGCAGAUGGCACAGAAGUUGAUGAAGAAGACUACUUCAGUUUUCUUCCCAGUGAUGCGACUCUGUUAUUUCUUACAAACGACGACAAGUGGAGACAUGAGAGUUCC
rnacentral:lncRNA from 1 species